UGAGGAAUAUUGGUCAAUGGGCGCAAGCCUGAACCAGCCAUCCCGCGUGAAGGAAGAAGGCCCUAUGGGUUGUAAACUUCUUUUCCAGGGGGUGAAUAAUACCGAUGUAUCGGGAGAUGACGGUACCCUGGGAAUAAGCAUCGGCUAACUCCGUGCCAGCAGCCGCGGUAAUACGGAGGACGCGAGCGUUAUCCGGAUUUAUUGGGUUUAAAGGGUGCGUAGGCGGAACAAUAAGUCAGUGGUGAAAGACUGCAGCUUAACUGUAGACUUGCCGUUGAUACUGUUGGUCUUGAGUAUGGUCAAGGCAGGCGGAAUGUGUAAUGUAGCGGUGAAAUGCUUAGGUAUUACACAGAACACCGAUUGCGAAGGCAGCUUGCUGGGCCAUUACUGACGCUGAUGCACGAAAGCGUGGGGAUCGAACAG
rnacentral:rRNA from 1 species